rnacentral:lncRNA from 1 species
AAGAGAUAAUACGAUAUACUAUCCAGCCAUCAGAUUGGACUGAGUAUCAUCAUUUCCAGGAAGAUCUGUAGUUGAAAUUGUCCUGGCUGUAUGUGGUGAGUAAUCCACUGGUAGCUUUUGAUUAUAAUUAACUACACUUACAAAACUAGCUUGCAGACUGAAACCAGUGAUUAAUUUUCCACAAC